CCUCCCAAAGUGCUGGGAUUACAGGCUUGAGCCACCGCACCCGGCCCUAAAGGAAGACUUUCAUUGGGCCCUGCUGGAAUUUGGUGAGUGGCUGUCAGCCACGUGCCCAGCCCUUGCUGUGCUGAAGCUCAGGCCUUUCCUGGCGCCCUGGUGUCCUGCAUUGAGCUUGUGAGCUCUUCUGCCCACAGAGCCCCUGGCAUUGACCAGCAUAGAUGGUGAGACUAAAGGAAGACUUUGAUUGGGCCGUGCUGGACCUUGUGAGCUCUUCUGCCCACAGAGCCCCUGGCAUUGAGCAGCAUAGAUGGUGAGACUAAAGGAAGACUUUCAUUGGGCCGUGCUGGACCCUGUGAGCUCUUCUGCCCACAGAGCCCCUGGCAUUGACAAGCACAGAUGGUGAGACUAAAGGAAGACUUUCAUUGGGCCGUGCUGGACCCUGUGAGCUCUUCUGCCCACAGAGCCCCUGGCAUUGAGCAGCAUAGAUGGUGAGACUAAAGGAAGACUUUGAUUGGGCCGUGCUGGACCUUGUGAGCUCUUCUGCCCACAGAGCCCCUGGCAUUGAGCAGCAUAGAUGGUGAGACUAAAGGAAGACUUUCAUUGGGCCGUGCUGGACCCUGUGAGCUCUUCUGCCCACAGAGCCCCUGGCAUUGACAAGCACAGAUGGUGAGACUAAAGGAAGACUUUCAUUGGGCCGUGCUGGACCCUGUGAGCUCUUCUGCCCACAGAGCCCCUGGCAUUGACAAGCACAGAUGGUGAGACUAAAGGAAGACUUUGAUUGGGCCGUGCUGGACCUUGUGAGCUCUUCUGCCCACAGAGCCCCUGGCAUUGAGCAGCAUAGAUGGUGAGACUAAAGGAAGACUUUCAUUGGGCCGUGCUGGACCCUGUGAGCUCUUCUGCCCACAGAGCCCCUGGCAUUGACAAGCACAGAUGGUGAGACUAAAGGAAGACUUUCAUUGGGCCUUGCUGGACCUUGGUGAGUGGCGGUCAGCCACUUGCCCAGCCCUUGCUAUGCUGAAGCUCAGGCCUUUCCUGGCGCCCAGGUGUCCUGCACUGAGCUUGUGAGCUCUUCUGCCCACAGAGCCCCUGGCAUUGACCAGCAUAGGUGGUGACACUAAAGAAAGACUUUCAUUGGGCCGUGCUGGAAUUUGUGACUUCUUCUGCCCACAGUGCCCCUGGCAUUGAGCAGCAUAGGUGAG